rnacentral:misc_RNA from 1 species
AUACAGUUGUUAAUCAUUGGUUGUCCCCAGUUGCAAGAAAGAUGUGGAAAUUGGCAUUUCAUUUCUCACAUCCCAAAUGUUCAACUUGAUUGGGAAAGAAAUAAAUGCACAGGAAAAUGAAAAUAGUGUGAACGAUAAGUAUUCCAUGCACCACAAAUUUAGCAACUCUAUUCCUUGGGAAAAGAGCAAUAAACUGGCUCAUCAAGAAAGAG